GGGGAUUUAGCUCAGCGGCAUAAGCAACUGCUUUGCAAGCAGGCGGUUGUGAGUUCAAUCCCCG
rnacentral:tRNA from 1 species